rnacentral:rRNA from 1 species
GAUGAACGCUAGCGGGAGGCCUAACACAUGCAAGUCGAGGGGUAACGGAAGUAGCUUGCUACUAGACGACGACCGGCGCACGGGUGAGUAACGCGUAUGUAAUCUGCCUUGUACAGAGGGAUAGCCCAGAGAAAUUUGGAUUAAUACCUCAUAGUAUUACUGAAUCGCAUGAUUUGGUAAUUAAAGCUCCGGCGGUACAAGAUGAACAUGCGUGACAUUAGCUAGUUGGUAAGGUAACGGCUUACCAAGGCUACGAUGUCUAGGGGUUCUGAGAGGAUGAUCCCCCACACUGGUACUGAGACACGGACCAGACUCCUACGGAGGCAGCAGUGAGGAAUAUUGGUCAAUGGACGCAAGUCUGAACCAGCCAUCCCGCGUGAAGGAUGACUGCCCUAUGGGUUGUAAACUUCUUUUAUAUGCAAAUAAACCUACUUUCGUGAAAGUAGCUGAAGGUAGCAUAUGAAUAAACACCGGCUAACUCCGUGC